GAUGAACGCUGGCGGCGUGCCUAAUACAUGCAAGUCGAGCGAACAGACGAGGAGCUUGCUCCUCUGACGUUAGCGGCGGACGGGUGAGUAACACGUGGAUAACCUACCUAUAAGACUGGGAUAACUUCGGGAAACCGGAGCUAAUACCGGAUAAUAUAUUGAACCGCAUGGUUCAAUAGUGAAAGACGGUUUUGCUGGCACUUAUAGAUGGAUCCGCGCCGCAUUAGCUAGUUGGUAAGGUAACGGCUUACCAAGGCAACGAUGCGUAGCCGACCUGAGAGGGUGAUCGGCCACACUGGAACUGAGACACGGUCCAGACUACUACGGGAGGCAGCAGUAGGGAAUCUUCCGCAAUGGGCGAAAGCCUGACGGAGCAACGCCGCGUGAGUGAUGAAGGUCUUCGGAUCGUAAAACUCUGUUAUUAGGGAAGAACAAAUGUGUAAGUAACUAUGCACGUCUUGACGGUACCUAAUCAGAAAGCCACGGCUAACUACGUG
rnacentral:rRNA from 1 species